UUUUUUUGUAGAUGUACAGUGCAAGUUCCAAGAAUGUUGCAAGACCGGUCCCAUGGUUAUGAAAAAUGGACACAUUUCAAGAUCCUGAAUAAGAGGUAAAUGAUUUUUUUUUCUAAUUAUUUCUAACCUUGUUGUAUUUCUUGGACAAUUUUCUUUGUAAUAUAUUGUAUUGUGUUUUCAAUAGUGAUUUUUUUAAAUUAUCUAGAUGUGUGUUGCAAUUUCAAAGAGUGGACAUCUCAAGCUGUAGGCUGAAGUGUUUUUGAUCACAAAAAUGAACACUGUCAUUGGAAAGUAUAUAAAAGGUCUUGCAGGGUAAUAUUUUUAUCUUAAUUAACAUGAAAUGUUUUGAACAUUAUAUGAUUGCCUGUGAUUCAGUGGCGUAAUGGAACCUCCUGAGCCCUAACACCAAAACCCCCUCCAGUUUUGUCAUUGCUGUGAUCAAUAGUUUCAAAAAUCCCAGUGCUCAGAAUAUUGCAAAAUAGCAUGUUGCUUGUGACACAAAAUACAACAAAAAU
rnacentral:lncRNA from 1 species